rnacentral:rRNA from 1 species
GACGAACGCUGGCGGCGUGCUUAACACAUGCAAGUCGAACGCUGAAGCUUGGUGCUUGCACUGGGUGGAUGAGUGGCGAACGGGUGAGUAAUACGUGAGUAACCUGCCCUUGACUCUGGGAUAAGCCUGGGAAACUGGGUCUAAUACUGGAUAUGACAUGCCACUGCAUGGUGGUGUGUGGAAAGGGUUUUACUGGUUUUGGAUGGGCUCACGGCCUAUCAGCUUGUUGGUGGGGUAAUGGCCUACCAAGGCGACGACGGGUAGCCGGCCUGAGAGGGGGACCGGCCACACUGGGACUGAGACACGGCCCAGACUCCUACGGGAGGCAGCAGUGGGGAAUAUUGCACAAUGGGCGGAAGCCUGAUGCAGCGACGCCGCGUGAGGGAUGACGGCCUUCGGGUUGUAAACCUCUUUCAGCACGGAAGAAGCGAGAGUGACGGUACGUGCAGAAGAAGCGCCGGCUAACUACGUG